rnacentral:lncRNA from 1 species
AUAUUUCUGUCCUGCUAUAGUCUUUUUUAAACUUCUUAUGAGAUUGAAGUAUUCGUUCUGAUUUCUGGUUUGCUGAUUGUUGUAGACAGAUGUAUGAAACCUCUUAACUGUGGACGACAACUACUUGAGAAGGACCAUCAUCACCCAUCAAGUACGCCAUUGAGGUAAUUCACCAGUCCCUCCGGCACCAACUAUCUAUUUUCUCUAGUAUGCUUAGGUUUUUCAUGCUGUUGUGGUAGCCCCAUUGCUGUUGCGUUGAAUCUCAUGCCAGCGCUGGUGCGCUUGUGGCUUGAUGUGCUGUGAUCUUUAUCUGUGUAGGUUUUGUUUGAUGAUAUGCUUAGAUUAUGAUCAUAAGCAUGGUGGUUUGAUGAUGCUGAGGCCAGCUGUUAAACCAUGAUAUAGUUGCUGGAACUGAGCUUAAUAUUCAUGUGUGUAUGUGUGUGUGUGUGUCGAGUAAAGUUGUGGUUUGUGCUGCUCCUUUGUAACAUGAUGAAACAAAGAAUGGCCUUUACUCCUUUUUGAAUGGAAUGUUCAUAAUAUAUUGGCUUCAGUUUUUCUAAUUUUUAUCAGCUGAUUCAUGUAACAGGGCGUCCGUGGAAGGCCCAGUCCUGACUCUCCAGUGAGUCCGGCAUUUGAUCGCUAUUGAAGGAGCUACAUGUAGAAGAAGAAAACACUUGCAGAGCUUGUAACUGAUUCCCAUAGUUGUAGAGCUUGUAUCAACUAAGCUUGUAUUACGUGUCACUUGUAGAACUUGUAAAUGCUACAGCUUGUAGGACAUGUCAUUUGUAGAGCUUGUAAAUAAGCUUGUAUAUGCUACAGCUUGUAGGACGUGUCAUUUGUAGAGCUUGUAUUGAAUCUGGCUAUUGUUAUUUGAAGUAUCAUGUGUGUUUUUUGCUUGCCAAUUUAACUAUUGGUUAUUUUCUUAUUGUCAAAUUGAAAUAUGAAGAAUCUGGGCCUAAUAGCUAGGACCCACUUAUCAGAACCUGACAAGUGGGACCUAUUUGACUAGAGGACCCAUUUUAUAAAAAAA